AGAGACCUGAGACCGACACAGUUGUACCCAGGAAAUGGGCGCAACCUCAGCCUGAAACCUCAGCUUUUGCCUGCUGAAAUGAAUGCAGGUGACGUCCGCUUUGUAUCCCUGCACUGCAAAUGGCUGUAGGGUCAUUCAGUGAACAGGUACGGGAGAGCCGUGUGGAGCUUGUGGAAGAUUGGAGCAAACAUGUGAUGUCUCUUCUGGAGCUACUUUUCCAAGCUGAUGUUCUUACUGAAGAGGAUGUGAGCCUGGUAAGAGGUGGAGGGUGUUUAGGAG
ensembl:lncRNA